ensembl:lncRNA
CCAAAGGCUACUCCAGAGGAACAACAUGACUGCCUUUGAUGUGACCCCUUCAGGAGAAACAUGUGCCAACUAGAACUCUUGGUGCUGAAAAAUAGAGACAAACCAGCCCAUAAGGAUGGAGAAACUUGCGAGGAGCUCCGGGAUCCUCACCCUGCUCCUCUGGAUCUCCAUCCCAGGCAUGAGCUCUGUCCCUGGGCAUAACAGCACGCAGGAGACCCCCCACCAGCCCUCCUGCCAGCCAGGUUCUUAUUGCCCCAGGGGGGGUCGGGGGCCGUUGCCCUGCCCCAGAGGCACGUUUACUCCAGAGGGGGGGGGCACUUCAGCGGAGCACUGUGUGAGCUGCCCCCCCCACCACUAUGGCCCCCGUGAGGGGAUGAGGGUGUGUGUGCCGUGUGGUCCAGGGGCACGCCAGCCCCUCCCCGGGCAGGAGAGGUGUGUGUGUCAGGGAGAGGGACAGACCUUCCAGCCCAGUGAUGGGCAGUGCCUGUGUACACUGGGGUUUGAGCGCAGUAGGCAAGGCCCUGUGUGCGAGCAGAAGGUGUAUGACAUCUGCAGAGACGGAUUCACACGCACCCAGCAUGGAGACUGCAUGGAUGCACCACAGUGGAGGACACACUGCUCCCAGCAGGUGUGUGAUACCCCUGAGGAGUACCAGGACUACGAUGCGCUUCUGGGUGUGUGUGUGUGCGCGGGGCGGCCAGAGAGAGUGGGUGUGUGUGGGGCCUGGUGUCGGAGCAGGAGGAACACCCCACCAUCACUGCGCUGUGCUGGAGGCCAGAUGGUGCUGUUGUACAGGGGCAGCCAGGUGAGUGUGUCGGGGAGUGUGCUGGAGAUGGCGCUGAACCGCUGGGACUCUCGUGGGGACCUGCAGUGUGACGCGUGGCGUGACUUCUCCUGCUCCGUGUAUGCAGUACAGACAGACGAGGCUGGCUUCUUUGGCCUGUUCAGCGCCAUGCUUCCUGAGGUCCACAUGCUGGUUCUGGAGGCCGUGCCCGAGGCCCACAACACGUCCUCAGAGGCACCUGACACACCUGGAGGUGGGAGUCAGCCAGCUUACCCAGAGCCUGUGGGGGGGUUAGUGGAGGAGCGGGAGCUGCUGUGGUCUCGAGGGGGGGGGCACCUCUGGAGGAAGCACAGUAACGCCAGCACUCUGGGGGUGCUGAACCCCACCUCCUGCCUCCAGCUGGGAGACAUCCUGCUCUUCACUGUCAGCAGGGAGCACUUCCCCCAGUACGACAUAGACAGCCUGUUCAACACCAAUACUGCCUUUGACUGGGGAUCCUUCCGGAAGCUUGCCCAGGACCAGACGGAGAGUGUGCCCACUAUGACCCCCAGCCUAUUCUCAGUGCGCUUCAGUGAGCCCGGGGUCUACGUCCUCAGAUUAAACAGCCACCACAACAAACACAUGUAUGUAAAAGUGAUGCCAGCCGGAGGGCAGUGCUACGAGACUGGACCCUUUUUUCCCGCCAUCUCUCAAUAUCUCACCCGUAUGGGCAUCACUAAGCAACGGCAGCUGCUCCUGCAACCUGAUUGGUUGUUAAUUGGGGGGCUCAUGGUUGGGGCGUGUGUGUUGCUUGGCCUGUGCAUCGCCCUGCUGGUAGUGUUCCGUGAGUACGGCUGGCCUGAGAAGGUUCCGGUGCAGGCUCGGUUCCGGGCACAGCAGCUCCGGUACCGUAUGGAUGACUACUCGUCCAAAGGGUCCCAACUCACCAUGCUGCAGAAGAAGCACCGGAGCCUACAGAUCGCCCUGACCCAAAACUCCACGCACAAAGAUGAGUUCUGGGACUACGAGGAACAGGUGGAUCUGGAGGCCUUCAGUGCCAGCACCUUCUAUGACAUCCUACUGAGGCACAGUGUGUCUGUCACUGCCCGCCUGGGACAACUCAGAGGAGAGGUGAAGGAGCUGUACCAGGGCGUGGUGUGUAAGGUCCAGGGGCUGCAGCUGGGGUGUGUGGAGGUGAGCGCCCCCGGUGGCGGGGACGGAGGGUGCGCCGAGCCGUGUGAGCGCGUUCGGCGGGAGCUGGAGCGGGAGGUGGCGCGGCGCCAGGCGUUGGCAGAGAGGCUGUGCCAGCUGUUGCAGUGCCAGCUGCAGACGCUCCAUCAGGAGCUCCAGCGCCAGCGACACACACACAGGACGCUGCGGGCGCGACUCAGGACCAGCCUACGGCUGUUGGGGCAGGCCGCAGACAGCCCUCAGUCACGCAGUGUGCUCCAGUGUGUGUGUGCCCUGGCGGAUGAGCUGGAGGAGCUGGUGUUGGGGGAGUGCCAAAGGGAGGGUGUGUGGGCGGGGCUUAAAGAGGGCACAGGUGCCCGCCUCCUCUGCCCAGCCACGGGCGCCGUCCUCACCAGGGAUGACAUCAUCGCGUCUGACGGCGCCCUGCAGGCCUGCCAUGCCCUGCACGUGGACCCUGUGAGCGGCCUCAUCCUGCCCAACCCCGGUGCCCAGAUGCUGCUGUCUAACGGGCACAGCAUGCCCGUGCCCCCGGACUUUGUCCUUCAC